rnacentral:rRNA from 1 species
ACCUACGGGGGGCAGCAGUGGGGAAUAUUGCACAAUGGGGGAAACCCUGAUGCAGCGACGCCGCGUGAGUGAAGAAGUAUUUCGGUAUGUAAAGCUCUAUCAGCAGGGAAGAAGAAGGACGGUACCUGAGUAAGAAGCCCCGGCUAACUACGUGCCAGCAGCCGCGGUAAUACGUAGGGGGCAAGCGUUAUCCGGAUUUACUGGGUGUAAAGGGAGCGUAGACGGCGAUGCAAGCCAGGAGUGAAAGCCCGGGGCCCAACCCCGGGACUGCUCUUGGAACUGCGUGGCUGGAGUGCAGGAGGGGG